rnacentral:rRNA from 1 species
AUUGAACGCUGGCGGCAUGCCUUACACAUGCAAGUCGAACGGUAACAGGCCGCAAGGUGCUGACGAGUGGCGAACGGGUGAGUAAUGCAUCGGAACGUGCCCAGUUGUGGGGGAUAACUGCUCGAAAGAGCAGCUAAUACCGCAUACGACCUGAGGGUGAAAGCGGGGGAUCGCAAGACCUCGCGCAAUGGGAGCGGCCGAUGUCGGAUUAGGUAGUUGGUGGGGUAAAGGCCUACCAAGCCGACGAUCUGUAGUUGGUCUGAGAGGACGACCAGCCACACUGGGACUGAGACACGGCCCAGACUCCUACGGGAGGCAGCAGUGGGGAAUUUUGGACAAUGGGCGCAAGCCUGAUCCAGCAAUGCCGCGUGCAGGAAGAAGGCCUUCGGGUUGUAAACUGCUUUUGUCAGGGAAGAAAUCCUCUGGGUUAAUACCCCGGGGGGAUGACGGUACCUGAAGAAUAAGCACCGGCUAACUACGUGCCAGCCGCCGCGGUAA